rnacentral:rRNA from 1 species
GACGAACGCUGGCGGCGUGCUUAACACAUGCAAGUCGAGCGGUAAGGCCCUUUCGGGGGUACACGAGCGGCGAACGGGUGAGUAACACGUGGGUGACCUGCCCUCAGCUCUGGGAUAAGCCCGGGAACUGGGUCUAAUACUGGAUAUGACUCCAUGACGCAUGUUGUGGGGUGGAAAGCCUUGUGCGGCUGAGGAUGGGGCCCGCGGCCUAUCAGCUUGUUGGNGGGGUUGAUGGCCUACCAAGGCGACGACGGGUAGCCGGCCUGAGAGGGCGACCGGCCACACUGGGACUGAGACACGGCCCAGACUCCUACGGGAGG